ACUGUGCCUGGAGGAGCAUCAACAUGGUAAAUCACUGUUUGGUCUGCUCAAGACUGGCUGGUCUUUCAGCACAAAGUGUUAGCCUUCACCAAAAUACAUUCUAAGGGCUACAUGCUGAGGGACACACUAAAGUUUGCAGCAAACUCUGCUUAGAUGCAAUUGGACAAGAUGAGGAAUAUUGAUGCAAAGGAGUGAAGCUCAUACCUUUCAAGGCCAACAACAGAUCAGACAAAACACUGUGGAUGCUGGAAAUACUCAGCAAGUCAGGCGGAAUCUUUGGAGAGGAAGGCUAUCGGUUUUCCAGGCAAGGAUGCCCGGAGGCAUGGUACAUUGGGGAAACCGAGC